rnacentral:rRNA from 1 species
UUCCGGUUGAUCCCGCCGGAGGUCACCGGUAUCGGAUUUUGACUAAGCCAUGGAAGUUAACCCCCGCUUGCGGGGGUGGCGUAAUGCUCAGUAACACACAGAUAAUCUGCCCUAGAGUGGGGUAUAACCUCGGGAAACUGAGGAUAAUCCCCCAUAAUUGAUGAGUACUGGAAUGUCUUUUCAAUCAAAGUUUUAACGCUCUAGGAUGAGUCUGUGGCCUAUCAGGUUGUUGGCGGGGUAAAGGCCCACCAAGCCAUUGACGGGUACGGGUCGUGAGAGCGAUAGCCCGGAGUUGGCCCCUGAGACAAGGGGCCAGGCCCUACGGGGCGCACCAGGCGCGAAACCUUCACAAUGCGCGAAAGCGUGAUGAGGAAAAUCCGAGUGCCAUCAGAUGUAAUCUGGUGGCUUUUGUUGAGCCUAAAGAGCUCAGCGAAUAAGGGCUGGGUAAGAUCGGUGCCAGCCGCCGCGGUAACACCGACGGCCCGACUGGUGACCAUGUUUAUUGGGCCUAAAGCGUUCGUAGUCGGACGAGUAGAUUUUUGGUGAAAUUCCCUCGCUUAACGGGGGAGCGUGCCAAAAACACCGCUCGUCUUGGGACCGGGAGAGGUAAGGGGUACGCGAUGAGUAGGGGCAAAAUCCUAUAAUUCAUUGAGGACCACCGGUGGCGAAGGCGCCUUACUUGAACGGGUCCGACGAUGAGGGACGAAGGCCAAGGUAGCGAACGGGAUUAGAUACCCCGGUAGUCUUGGCUGUAAACUAUGCGAGCCAGGUCUGUCGAAUUCUACGGGAGUUCGAUGGGCCGAACCGAAGGGGUUAAGCUCGCCGCCUGGGGAGUACGGUCGCAAGGCUGAAACUUGAAGGAAUUGGCGGGGGGGCACCACAAGGGGUGAAACUUGCGGUUUAAUUGGAUUCAACGCCGGA